rnacentral:rRNA from 1 species
UACGGAGGGUGCGAGCGUUACCCGGAUUUACUGGGUGUAAAGGGCGUGUAGGCGGUCUCUCAAGUCCGAUGCUAAAGACCGAAGCUCAACUUCGGGGGUGCGUUGGAUACUGUGAGGCUAGACGGUCGGAGAGGGUAGCGGAAUUUCCGGAGUAGCGGUGAAAUGCGCAGAUACCGGAAGGAACGCCAAUAGCGAAAGCAGCUACCUGGACGAUUUGUGACGCUGAGGCGCGAAAGCGUGGGGAUCAAACCGG